UUUGAAAUGCGACAACAAAAGUGCAAUAUGUCUGUCGAAAAAUACAGUAUUACAUGCUAGGUCAAAACAUAUAGAUGUCCGACAUCAUUUUCUAAAGGAUCAUGUAGAAAAGAAAAAUAUUACACUUGAAUAUAUAUCAACUGAUGAACAGCUAGCUGACAUUUUCACAAAACCCCUGGACUUGGAGCACUUUUCAAAAUUCAGAAAUAUUCUAGGUAUUUGUGACACAGAUGAAGUAAAUUGACUUGUUGUACACCAAAGGUAUGAUAAGUCAUUCUAUUCAUAUUUCUUAAUUAGUAUACAAAUAAGUAAAAUGAACUAAUAUUUGUUCUAGUAUUAUAAUCUAUAAGUUGGUAGAGGAGUUUAUUAAUAACUCAUACCAAGUUACAUAAUCCAUCUCCAUUUACACCCAAAUAAAUGGAUAACAUAUCAAAUUUUUUAGACUCUUCAAAGGAUAUUAUUGCAUGACUUAUAAAUCCCCGGUGCUUAAAAAUUAAAAACUUUUUGAGUAAUUGUUGUUUAAGAGAUGCAUGGAAUAAAUGAUCAACUACCAUUGGUAAUGAUAGCAUUUUUUCCAUUUAUGACAUGCCAAGCCACACAAGGCAAAGGGAAUUACUCCCACAUUGGGUAUGAGAACAAUCAUGGUUCUCUGACAUGCACCCAGUUCAGGCGGAUUCUGCGAUCUUCUCCCACCAAUGGGUGGCCGGAAAAUUAAACUCCCGUCACCUCGGCACCUGCACGAGAAGAUGAAGGGUUAAACAUUAAAAACUCAACUACCAUUUCAUAGAAAGUUAAAUACUCAAGUAUACCCAAAACAACUUUCAUUCUCAUCGAUUGAGUUUUUCUAUUCAUCUUCAUCCAUCACUCUUCUCAUCCUCUCGCAAACAUGAUGAAGAAAGAAGAUGAACCUUCCCUGAUGGAGGAUCUGUAUGAGACCCAUGAUCUCACGACACUACUGAAAGUAGAAGAACCCACUCCUGCAUAUACCUCUUCACAGAUCCUCCCACCAAAGAAGAGGAAGAGCACGUCCAGAGCUGCUCCAUUCAAAGGAAAUCCAAGUUUUAGAUCUCCCAAAGCUGGGCAAGUCUUCAAAAUCAUCCAUGAAGCCAAGCUUACUCUGGAAGAACCAACUAACUUCGCAGCUCUAAACAACAAAGUGUUGGAAGUGUUGGAUCGUGAUCCGUGACUAUAAGGGGGGAUAAUAGCCUCUUUUCGAUUUAUGCAGAUUGAUAGCGGAAUUACCUGCACACACUUAAGUACACAAAUGGUUGUAUAAUAAUAAUAGUAUAAUAUUGUUAGCAAUAUAAUACUAUUAUAUGAUUUUAAAGAAUAUAAUAUUAUAUCUUAUAAUAUUAUAUAUUGGACCUGCCUUUUUCUCUUGAAGUUUACUACCAUAUAUGAGUACAGAGUCAACUUUUCAGAUGGUGUUUUAUAAACAACUAUAGUAUAUGAAUUCUAAGUUAUAUUAUAAACACAAGUUAUAUUAUAAACACAAGUUAUAUUAUAGAGUAAAUGACCAGAUAACUGGAUAUAUAUUUGAUAAGCAAGAUAUAGAGUAAAUGACCAAAUAACUGGAUAUAUAUUUGAUAAGUAAAUGCUUGAACAAAUAUCUGAGUAAAGAUUUAAAACAAUGAAUAUAACCUCAGAUAGUUGACCAUAUAACUGGAUGAGGGAUCUGCGUAAAGUAGUCAACCUCUGUAUUUGACCAGAUAACUGGAAGAGGGAUCAUUUUCAAUUAAGUGUUGUUUAGUUGUUUUAGAUGAAAGAUAAAACUAAAGUUAACAAAGAACAACACAAGAGAAUUUAUACUGGUUCACCCAAACAAGGGCUAAUCCAGUCCCGACCAACUGUCGGAAUUCACUAGCCUAAAGGUUAUGGCAAAACCUUAGAGUAUCAAGGAAACUCUUAAGAACCUCUCUAAGCUUUAAGGCUACUUCGUUUAGGAACCAGUCUUUUACGGGUAGACUCACACCUUAGAGUAUCAAGGGCACUCUUAAGAACCUCUAACUUUUGCGGGUAAGUUAGUACCUUAGAGUAUCAAGGAACUUUUAAAAACCUCUCUAAGCUUUAAGGCUACUUCGCUUAGGAACCAGUCUUUUACGGGUAGACUCACACCUUAGAAUAUUGAGGGCACUCUUAAGAACCUCUAUCUUUUACGGCUAAGUUAGUACCUUAGAGUAUCAAGGAACUCUUAAAAACCUAGAAAUCUUUCAAGGUAGAAUCGACCUAAGAGUUUUCCCGAAAACUCUAUAAAACCAAACUAGAGCUUUAUGGUUGAGCUCAAAAACCUUCUCUCACACUUUGGUACUAUUGAGACAACCCUCUCAACCAAAGUGGACACACACAAGAGGUGAUUAGAGGAGUGGAAAAUUAAAGCAAACAACACUUCUUACUUGUAGAGAUGAACAAGAAGAUUAGAAGAAGUUGGAGAGCUUUUGAAGCUUUGGAAAGCUAGGACACUUGAGCACUUGAAAGCUUGGAAGCUUGGACGCAAAAACGUGUGGGCAAGUGUGGAGUGAAAGCUCUUGAGUUUGCUUGUAGUGUGGUGAGUGAAAAUGAGGGGUUUACCCUUCUAUUUAUAGCCUUGGCCACUCAAUGUCCACCCUUGGAUCUUCAAUGGAUGGCUCCUUGAUUUCUCACAAAAAUCCAAGCUUUGUCUUUGAUCUUAUCUUGAAUAGUGUUUUUCUUGGAUAGAGUUUAUUGGAGA
rnacentral:lncRNA from 1 species